rnacentral:rRNA from 1 species
UACGUAGGGGGCGAGCGUUGUCCGGAUUUAUUGGGCGUAAAGAGCGUGUAGGCUGUUCGGUAAGUCUGCCCGUGAAAACCUGAGGCUCAACCUCGGGCGUGCGGUGGAUACUGCCGGGCUAGAGGACGGUAGAGGCGAGUGGAAUUCCCGGUGUAGCGGUGAAAUGCGCAGAUGUCGGGAAGGAACACCCAGUAGCGAAAGGCGGCUCGCUGGGCCCGUUCCUGACGCUGAGACGCGAAAGCUAGGGGAGCGAACAGG